UAUGUGAAUACAUAGCAUAUCAGAAGGCACACCCGGAGAACUGAAACAUCUUAGUACCCGGAGGAAGAGAAAGAAAAUUCGAUUCCCUUAGUAGCGGCGAGCGAAACGGGAAGAGCCCAAACCAACAAGCUUGCUUGUUGGGGUUGUAGGACACUCUAUACGGAGUUACAAAGGACGACAUUAGACGAAUCAUCUGGAAAGAUGAAUCAAAGAAGGUAAUAAUCCUGUAGUCGAAAAUGUUGUCUCUCUUGAGUGGAUCCUGAGUACGACGGAGCACGUGAAAUUCCGUCGGAAUCUGGGAGGACCAUCUCCUAAGGCUAAAUACUCUCUAGUGACCGAUAGUGAACCAGUACCGUGAGGGAAAGGUGAAAAGCACCCCGGAAGGGGAGUGAAAUAGAACCUGAAACCGUGUGCUUACAAGUAGUCAGAGCCCGUUAAUGGGUGAUGGCGUGCCUUUUGUAGAAUGAACCGGCGAGUUACGAUUUGAUGCAAGGUUAAGCAGUAAAUGUGGAGCCGUAGCGAAAGCGAGUCUGAAUAGGGCGUUUAGUAUUUGGUCGUAGACCCGAAACCAGGUGAUCUACCCUUGGUCAGGUUGAAGUUCAGGUAACACUGAAUGGAGGACCGAACCGACUUACGUUGAAAAGUGAGCGGAUGAACUGAGGGUAGCGGAGAAAUUCCAAUCGAACCUGGAGAUAGCUGGUUCUCUCCGAAAUAGCUUUAGGGCUAGCCUCAAGUGAUGAUUAUUGGAGGUAGAGCACUGUUUGGACGAGGGGCCCCUCUCGGGUUACCGAAUUCAGACAAACUCCGAAUGCCAAUUAAUUUAACUUGGGAGUCAGAACAUGGGUGAUAAGGUCCGUGUUCGAAAGGGAAACAGCCCAGACCACCAGCUAAGGUCCCAAAAUAUAUGUUAAGUGGAAAAGGAUGUGGCGUUGCCCAGACAACUAGGAUGUUGGCUUAGAAGCAGCCAUCAUUUAAAGAGUGCGUAAUAGCUCACUAGUCGAGUGACACUGCGCCGAAAAUGUACCGGGGCUAAACAUAUUACCGAAGCUGUGGAUUGUCCUUUGGACAAUGGUAGGAGAGCGUUCUAAGG
rnacentral:rRNA from 1 species